rnacentral:tRNA from 1 species
GGAGUUGUAGCUCAGUGGUAGAGCGCUCACCUAGUGCAGGUGAGGCACUAGGUUCGAUCCUCAGCACCA